GUGGGGAAUAUUGCACAAUGGGGGAAACCCUGAUGCAGCGACGCCGCGUGAGCGAAGAAGUAUUUCGGUAUGUAAAGCUCUAUCAGCAGGGAAGAUAAUGACGGUACCUGACUAAGAAGCCCCGGCUAACUACGUGCCAGCAGCCGCGGUAAUACGUAGGGGGCAAGCGUUAUCCGGAUUUACUGGGUGUAAAGGGAGCGUAGACGGCAAGGCAAGUCUGAUGUGAAAACCCAGGGCUUAACCCUGGGACUGCAUUGGAAACUGUCUGGCUCGAGUGCCGGAGAGGUAAGCGGAAUUCCUAGUGUAGCGGUGAAAUGCGUAGAUAUUAGGAAGAACACCAGUGGCGAAGGCGGCUUACUGGACGGUAACUGACGUUGAGGCUCGAAAGCGUGGGGAGCAAACAGGAUUAGAAACCCUAGUAGUCC
rnacentral:rRNA from 1 species